rnacentral:rRNA from 1 species
AACGAACGCUAGCGGUAGGCCUAACACAUGCAAGUCGAACGGGCAUAUAGCUUGGCUUGCCAAGUUGUAUGUCAGUGGCAGACGGGUGAGUAAUACAUAGGAAUCUACCUGACAGUAAGGAAUAGUCACUAGAAAUGGUGAGUAAUAUCAUAUACGCCCUGAGGGGGAAAGAUUUAUCGCUGUCAGAUGAGCCUAUGUUGGUAUAGCUAGUUGGUGAGGUAAAUGCUCACCAAGGCAACGAUCCAUAGCUGGCCUGAGAGGGUGAACAGCCACACUGGAACUGAGAUACGGUCCAGACUCCUACGGGAGGCAGCAGUGGGGAAUAUUGGGCAAUGGGCGAAAGCCUGACCCAGCCAUACCGCAUGAGUGAUGAAGG